rnacentral:rRNA from 1 species
CACCGCGGUUAUACGAGAGGCCCAAGUUGACAGACAACGGCGCAAAGGGUGGUUAGGGGAACAAACUAAACUAGAGCUAAACGCUUUCAGAGCUGUUAUACGCACCCGAAAGUAUGAAACCCAACUACGAAAGUAGCUCUAUUAACCCUGAACCCACGAAAGCUAAGAAA